GAAAAUGAACAAACACAUCACACUACGAGGGGCCCCAGUUAGAUUACUCCAACCUUUCAUAAAGGAACCAAAGAAUGAUGUGCUGUGGAUCCAUGGUUCUGAACCAAACUGAGACAUGUCUGUUCCUAAUAGGAAGGCGGAGAACUAUUAUCAAGACCCACGGGCACUGGAACUUGAUGACCACACCCUGGACUGGACCCUUCAGCUUCGUUUUCUUGAUGACACAACGGUAAUUAUCAGCUCAGAAUGGACCCUGGGACUUCCGACUCCAACGCGGCAACAAAAUAAUUAUCACCCUGGGUAGAUCUGCUGAGUAAGCUUCAGAGAAACCACAGCAAGCCAAGACUUUAAAAGUUCAGUUGUUUUCUCACAGCAAUAUCUUCUCCGAUAAUCCCAACCCAAAAGAACUCCUUCCUCAGUCAUCCAAAAAACCCGCCAAGACUCUCCUUCAUCUUUCCUGUCCUGCCCUUUUCCCAUUUGCUGGUCAAAAGUGUGGAGGUGUGGCUUAAUCUUGGUGUGUGGAAAGUGCUCAUAGAGACAAAACAAACAGUGCACAACCAAAUAAUCAAUGAUUCCCAUCAGUGGAUGAAGCUAAACAGGUAGGCAAAACUGUUUGCACACAAUAAAAACCUAGGUCGUAUUGCGAGCACUGACUACCCUCGAACCGACGACGUCCAGGCUAUAGGGCACAUCCUGCACUCCAUGUGAAGUGCCUUUACUGGAUGCGGCUCUCUGGAGCCCUCACGUUUAUUCUUCUGGCCGUUUCCCUGUUACAAACUGUUUUUGCAAGUAUCCACACAGGAACAUUUGAACAGUUGUCAUGUCAUGCACAGUGACCACGACACAGUAAUAUUAAUAUAUAUAGAGAUGUUACAUGUACACUUUCUAUGGCAAUCCUUUCUGUUUUCAUAAUGACUGGCAUAAGCUUCAGCAUUGUUCUUCCACACACACCACCAUGCUCACCUCAUGCUGCCUUUUUAUACAAGCAAUGGUGAUACACACAUGAUUAAUUAACACCUUGUUACACAACUAGAAGAUUUUAGCAUGUGGAAUUUUACCUUCUGAGACCAGACUACAAACAAAAUAUGACACCUGGUAGCAAAAUGUCAGAUUGUAGUUAUUCAGGGAAUGAAUUGCAUUCUUAGACUGAUAUACUUGUUAUCCAACACUUUAUCACAAUACUUAAUUUGUCCUUGAACUUCAAUGCAGCUGGAAUGCAGAUCUGUGGGUGGAAUAGUUCUAUUGAAUGUGAAGCUAUGAUGUUUCCUCCACCACGUAUCAUGAGCGGGAGUAAAUGCUCUCUCCUUAGCUUUAGUUUCUUCAUGGAUUGACAGCUCAUCUGAACUGAAAUCAUAACAGACAUCAUUGCCCUCUGGAUCAUAAGUGGGAUCAUCAGCAUCAGAUUA